UAUAGGUUUGGUCCCAGCCUUCCUGUUAACUUUCAAUAGACUUAUACAUGCAAGCAUCCACGCCCCGGUGAGUAACGCCCUUCGAAUCACACAGGACUAAAAGGAGCAGGUAUCAAGCACACACUCUUGUAGCUCACAACGCCUUGCUUAACCACACCCCCACGGGAGACAGCAGUAACAAAAAUUAAGCCAUAAACGAAAGUUUGACUAAGCCAUAUUGACUAGGGUUGGUAAAUCUCGUGCCAGCCACCGCGGUCAUACGAUUGACCCAAGCUAACAGGAGUACGGCGUAAAGCGUGUUAAAGCAUCAUACUAAAUAGAGUUAAAUUUUAAUUAAACUGUAAAAAGCCAUAAUUAUAACAAAAAUAAAUGACGAAAGUAACCCUACAAUAGCUGAUACACCAUAGCUAAGACCCAAACUGGGAUUAGAUACCCCACUUCCCUUAGCCCUAAACACAAAUAAUUAU
rnacentral:rRNA from 1 species